GAAUCAAGAGUAUCUUCAGGAGACAUAAUAAUGUAAAAAUCAUGCUCAAUAGGAUUAAGCUAAGGCUC
rnacentral:snoRNA from 1 species